AUUGAACGCUGGCGGCAGGCUUAACACAUGCAAGUCGAGCGAGCGGCGGACGGGUGAGUAAUGUAUGGGACACUGCCUGAUGGAGGGGGAUAACUACUGGAAACGGUAGCUAAUACAGAAUAACAUGAGCUGUGCCGAGAUGGGCUAAGCUAGUAGGUGGGGUAAUGGCUCACCAAGGCGACGAUCCCUAGAUGGUCUGAGAGGAUGACCAGCCACACGGGAACUGAGACACGGUCCAGACUCCUACGGGAGGCAGCAGUGGGGAAUAUGGCACAAUGGGCGCAAGCCUGAUGCAGCCAUGCCGCGUGUGUGAAGAAGGCCUUCGGGUUGUAAAGCACUUUCAGCGAGGAGGCGUUACUCGCAGAAGAAGCACCGGCUAACUCCGUGCCAGCAGCCGCGGUAAUAC
rnacentral:rRNA from 1 species